AGUGAACGCUGGCGGUAGGCCUAACACAUGCAAGUCGAACGGCAGCACAGUAAGAGCUUGCUCUUACGGGUGGCGAGUGGCGGACGGGUGAGGAAUACAUCUGAAUCUACUUUUUCGUGGGGGAUAACGUAGGGAAACUUACGCUAAUACCGCAUACGACCUACGGGUGAAAGCAGGGGAUCUUCGGACCUUGCGCGAUUGAAUGAGCCGAUGUCGGAUUAGCUAGUUGGCGGGGUAGAGGCCCACCAAGGCGACGAUCCGUAGCUGGUCUGAGAGGAUGAUCAGCCACACUGGAACUGAGAAACGGUCCAGACUCCUACGGGAGGCAGCAGUGGGGAAUAUUGGACAAUGGGCGCAAGCCUGAUCCAGCCAUACCGCGUGGGUGAAGAAGGCCUUCGGGUUGUAAAGCCCUUUUGUUGGGAAAGAAAAGCAGCAGGUUAAUACCCCGCUGUUCUGACGGUACCCAAAGAAUAAGCACCGGCUAACUUCGUG
rnacentral:rRNA from 1 species